rnacentral:rRNA from 1 species
AUUGAACGCUGGCGGCAGGCUUAACACAUGCAAGUCGAGCGGAGAUGAGGUGCUUGCACCUUAUCUUAGCGGCGGACGGGUGAGUAAUGCUUAGGAAUCUGCCUAUUAGUGGGGGACAACAUUCCGAAAGGAAUGCUAAUACCGCAUACGUCCUACGGGAGAAAGCAGGGGAUCUUCGGACCUUGCGCUAAUAGAUGAGCCUAAGUCGGAUUAGCUAGUUGGUGGGGUAAAGGCCUACCAAGGCGACGAUCUGUAGCGGGUCUGAGAGGAUGAGCCGCCACACUGGGACUGAGACACGGCCCAGACUCCUACGGGAGGCAGCAGUGGGGAAUAUUGGACAAUGGGGGGGAACCCUGAUCCAGCCAUGCCGCGUGUGUGAAGAAGGCCUUAUGGUUGUAAAGCACUUUAAGCGAGGAGGAGGCUACUGAGACUAAUACUCUUGGAUAGUGGACGUUACUCGCAGAAUAAGCACCGGCUAACUCUGUGCCAGCCGCCGCGGUAAUAC